GUGAUUAACGCGAAGAACCUUACCUACCCUUGACAUGUCUGGAAUCCUUGAGAGAUCAGGGAGUGCCUUCGGGAGCCAGAACACAGGUGCUGCAUGGCUGUCGUCAGCUCGUGUCGUGAGAUGUUGGGUUAAGUCCCGCAACGAGCGCAACCCUUGUCGCUAAUUGCCAUCAUUUGGUUGGGCACUUUAGCGAGACUGCCGGUGACAAACCGGAGGAAGGUGGGGAUGACGUCAAGUCCUCAUGGCCCUUAUGGGUAGGGCUUCACACGUCAUACAAUGGUCGGUACAGAGGGUUGCCAAGCCGCGAGGCGGAGCUAAUCUCAAAAAGCCGAUCGUAGUCCGGAUCGUAGUCUGCAACUCGACUACGUGAAGUCGGAAUCGCUAGUAAUCGUGGAUCAGCAUGCCACGGUGAAUACGUUCCCGGGUCUUGUACACACCGCCCGU
rnacentral:rRNA from 2 species